rnacentral:sRNA from 12 species
CCUUUGGAGUGUUAUAUCAAACAAGAUUAGUCAAGUUAGAUUGAUGAUGAAAUUGGACACGAUGAAUAAGGAA